AUGUCUGCACGACUGUUUUGCUGGGUGGUGCUUUGUCUCCUCUGGGCAGGAUCUUUUGAUGCUAAAGUAACCCAGACUCCAAGAUAUCUGAUCAAAGAGAAAGGACAGAAAGCAAAUAUGAGCUGUUUCCCUGAAAAGGGGCAUACUGCCUUUUACUGGUAUCAACAGGACCAGAAAAGAGAACUUAAAUUGUUGAUUAACUUUCGAAAUGAAGACAUUAUUGAACAAACAGACGUGGUCAAGAAGCGAUUCUCAGCUAAGUGUCCUUCAAACUCACCCUGCAGUCUGGAAAUCCAGUCCUCUGAGGCGGGAGACUCAGCACUGUACCUCUGUGCCAGCAGUCAGUACACAGUGCUGAAAUGUGCACUCCCCUCAGUGCAUGAACCCCACUGUGCACACGACUCAGGAAGUGGGCAAUGCCAGAAACUGGAAGACAGUAACAGAAAAUUACUAGGUCUGGCACCAACCACAGCAGAUUUCAUGCAAGGCUGGAGGGCUUUUAGAUUCACGGGAGCAACGGGCUGA